rnacentral:rRNA from 1 species
UCACGAUGAACCCCGCGGCCCUAUCAGCUAGUUGGUGAGGUAACGGCUCACCAAGGCUAAGACGGGUAGCUGGUCUGAGAGGACGACCAGCCACACUGGAACUGAGACACGGUCCAGACACCUACGGGUGGCAGCAGUCGAGAAUUUUUCACAAUGGGCGAAAGCCUGAUGGAGCGACGCCGCGUGGGGGACCUGAAGGGCUUCGGCCUGUAAACCCCUGUCAUUUGCGAACAAACCUUUCCGUCGAACACGCGGAAAGCUGAUUGUAGCGAAAGAGGAAGGGACGGCUAACUCUGUGCCAGCAGCCGCGGUAAUACAGAGGUCCCAAGCGUUGUUCGGAUUCACUGGGCGUAAAGGGUGCGUAGGUGGUCAGGUUAGUUCGAUGUGAAAGCUCCGGGCUUAACCCGGAAAUGGCAUUGAAUACUGCCUGGCUGGAGGAUCGGAGGGGAGACUGGAAUUCUCGGUGUAGCAGUGAAAUGCGUAGAUAUCGAGAGGAACACCAGUGGCGAAGGCGAGUCUCUGGACGAUUCCUGACACUGAGGCACGAAAGCUAGGGGAGCAAACAGGAUUAGAUACCCUGGUAGUCCUAGCUGUAAACGGUGCACAUUUGCCGUGAGGGGAUUCGACCCCCUUCGUGGCGUAGCUAACGCGAUAAAUGUGCCGCCUGGGAAGUACGGCCGCAAGGUUAAAACUCAAAUGAAUUGACGG